UCCAGUAGACCUACCCCACUGCAAAAAUUAUAUAAUGCGCAAACUAUUCAAGGAGAUUCUUCAUUGCAGCAGAAGCACUUGGUCAGCGUAGCUCAAGUUGUGCAGGUGUAUCUCUUAAUAAUUUUGACGAAAUAAUUAAAAUCUUUAAAAUGACGAAUCUCAAGUUGACUGUGGUUUUGGUUUUUGCAAUUUCGAUUGUCUCCACCAAGCCACCCCCAGAACGGAAAUGCCGAACGGUUUGGACCGACCUUAAUAAACUGGAGCUGAGACAGAUCGGAGUCUGUACGAAAGAACUGGGAUGGAAGGGUGGGAGAGAAAAGACGCAAAAAUCAACGGGGAUACGUCAUUAAAUUCCAAAAUCGUGGGUAAUUUGUUACGCCCUUCAUAACUGGAGACCUACAACCCCAAUGUAAAGACCGGUCAUGACGCAAAUAUUGGACACUCAUAACAAACCUGAAAAUAGAACGAAGUAUAACUUACCCAUUAUUAUCUUAGCAUAGCAUAGAAAAUGAGACAAUAUUUCGUGUUGAAUGUGUUAAAUCAAAUUAUUUUCUUCGUCAAUUUAAAUUUGAGCUAUGUGUAUUAAUGAAGGCCAAACAUUGAGGCCCUAAUUGCAUCGAUGACGUCAAUAAAACGUACAUAUGCAUAUUGAGCAAACAGAAUCAUUAGAAGUGAUGUUUUUAGUUUGAGCUUGUCCUUACAUUUGAUACGUCGCAUAUUCAGAGCAACUUGCACUAGCAACCAGAAGGGAAUGGGCUAUUUGCAUUUCUAUUCUUACAGUCGCUUUCGUUUUUUGACUCCUGGGAAACAUAAACGAUAAUUAUUCACAAUGUUGUCAAGGUUAUUGCAAAUAUUCCUUCCACUUUUGCAUCUUUCACACCAACUUGGAACGUUUGAUAAUUUCCUUCAGUUGUUUACUGGUUGUACGUUAGACAUUUUUACUAGCAACACUUACCUUUAUGAUGAUCCACGUUUUUGGAUUAUGGACGAACGCCUCAUUUUUCCAAAGUUGGUCAAGGAUAUUAAAACUUAUGUCCGGUUAGUGUUUGACGCUCAAGAGAAUAAUACGGUUGAAAGAUACCUGCUUCUCCAGAAACAUAACCCGCCCUAUAUAAAUUCAAAGGAUUAUUGCCGCAUUGGAUUCAUGGACUUGCAAGAAGGCGAGCAAAUAAAUUUGCCGGAUAGCGAAAAUGGUUUAUUGCAGCUAAUGGUGCAAAAUCCACAACCUCAACAUGUAUUUAUCCGAGUAGGAAUCCCUGAAGCGACCGAUUUUCCUAAACCAAACAAAAGUCCAUUCAAUUUCGUGUUAAGUAAAGUUUCAGCUAACAUCUUUGCAAUGCACAUUAGAGGAAAUACCGUUACUAUAUAUUUCUCAAAGUAUCAUUUAGAUUUAAUUUUCAUUGAAAAGAACAAGACCUCGAAAUCGUAUAUAGGUUCCGACAGCAUAACAAAAAGAGCGAGAAAACUGCAAAAUUUGGACACACGGUUCCAAAGGGAGUUUAGAAAUAUGGAUAGUAGGCCGGUAGGACUUCGUAUAAUAGGUAGCCUUGCAAAGAAAACAAUAGAACUGUAUCAGAAAACAUGUGGGAUUUACAAAAUUAAGGGCUCCCCCAAUCCGUAUACCUGCGCCAUGAUAACAUUGAGCCGUAAGUUUAAUUUUACGUUUGCAUCCCCGUCGAGGAAUCCUGAUCUCCAAUUAAGCUACAUUCUCUUAGAUCAGAGACUGCUUUCUUAUGCUUAUGCUAAGAAAUUGACUAGCCCACCAGCACAACUCAUUACUCCCGGUGGGGAUUACCUGGAACUUAAAACGGUCGUGUUCAGUAAAAAGCGAGAAGCUAAUGGGUUCGCAUUGUUAACCACGUUCGACUCCGGUACAUGGAUUUGCCUCUUUCUGCUACUGUUUUGCUUAAAUAUGCUGUUAAAUCUACCAGCAACUGGAUACACUUCCCCUUGGUACGUGUCAUUUACUUUGGUGCGGCACUUAAUGGAUCAGCCAGGAAAUGAGGGAAAAUCAUCCCCACAGAUACGAAGUGCGAUCAUUCGAACCGCCAUUCUCUCUUCCUCGAUACUUUCUAUGCUUGUUGGAAACCUGUUUCGGGGAUCAUAUACAUCGCAGCUCACCAGUAGGACUUUACCAAAUAUGAGAAGCGAUUUAAAUAGCAUUGCAUUUAGUUCGGUACCAAUUGUAGCUACUGGGUCAUCGGACAAUGGUGGAGAUGAGAAAAGGUUCGUAUCGUUCCUCACAAACGAAAUUAACGGCCGACUAGUCGUGGCUCCUAAUAAUUCUAAUAUUUACAACAUCCUUAAAACAAUACGGGAUCGUACAACCUUUUUACUAUCCUCGUGGUAUGACUUCGCAAUUAAUGUUAGCAACAACCACCUAAUUAAAACUAACAAUGGCUACGAACGACUUCCUGAAAUCUUUGUGGUAAUGGACAAGGACGCUUCGUGCAAUGCUCUAAUUAAACUUUUAACGUUCAAUAAUGUAUAUUUCCCAAUUUCAUACCGAAGUUCGGGAGUAUAUACGGAAAGAGGUUUCUACGUCGCAAGUAACACUCUGCUUGGUAUGAUCUUAACCCCGGGUUUGUAUGGCCUACAAGAAUCUGGGAUACUCCACUGGUGGAAGCAACGUUAUGCUGAUCGGAACAUUUUAAGCCCACAUUCAUUGUACACCUGGAAAACCUACUUUGGAACUCGGUUGCACCGAGCACUUAUUCAUUGGCCGCCGAAGAAAUCACCAGAAUUUGAAAACGAUGUUGUAGGGCCGGGAAAUUUUAUCAUGAUUGGUUAUAUCCUGAUAUUUCUGUAUUUCUUGUCUCUAACUUUGGCCUUACGCGAAGUUUAUUAUCAUCGGGAGACAAGGGAGAAAGUAUUUACUUGGUUUCGGGAAACGUGGCAGACGAUACAAGCGGCACACAAACGAAUUCGAGCGUGGCGAAGGUAUAAAAUACUGAGCAUGGUGCAAAGAAUAAUGGUAGGGUUUGAAAAUGCUUCAUUUUGCAACUUUUCUAUAAACCAUCUGUAAAAUUUAUGAACGAUUCAACCGACUGACGACUAGGUCGGAAACUCAAAUUUUGAAAUGCAAAUAAAGGCACCCAAAGAACAAAAGAGUCAGCUUCAGUUAGACUAGGUCAGGUUAGGUUGUUAAUAAGGUUCAGCUCACGGUUAAGAUAUGGUCGAGUUAACAAUUUUUAUUUUAUAGCGAAAGAUAUUGUAAUUUUACUUAUGACACGUGAAAGUAGUGGUUCAUUUAAUAUUUGGAAUUUUUCAACACUGUUUAAACUGUUAUUUUUUAUUCGUGUAGAUGACGUUGAUAACCCGCACAUUCGCGGUAACUAGUGUUUCACCUUUUACGACUCCACUUCUUGUUUUACUUAUUCCUCAUUUUCAGAUGCCCUUCAACUAUUAUAAAUUGCAUGCUGGAAAAUGGUUCCUAGCCAACUUACAAUUAGUUUUUAGCUAAGUGGUUCACAAUAAGUUUGGAGGAGAAGGGAGUUACACCACUCUAAUAGUAUGCAUACUUCUGACUUACAUAGAGUGUGUCCUAAAAGUUUCUCCCUAUUAACCACUGAAUUUUGUUACCUGACAAAUUCAGGGAGAUAGAAUUGUUCAAACUGGUAUGUUUUUCGAAAGUACUGUAAUAUGAUGUGCGUAAUCCGGCCUUGUUCACCAUUUCUACCAUUCAUGCCGCAAAACUAUGGUGCAAAAUAUGCGGUCCUUACGAAACCAACCUGGGACCGGGAUUUCAAAGUUGUCUUUCGGCCUUGUCAAGGAUGUGAGAUCCUUCAAAUUUGUUUUCCUAAGUCUCAAAUGUUAUGGAUUGAAUUAUCAAUACGAUUAAAAUUAUCUGUUAUCUGUGUAUAUACGCUUAUCUUCACCUUCCACAGUGGUCAAAAAAGUCAAAAAUCUAUGCUUUUAACCAGUUUGGCGAAGUUUAGCCGAUAUCUCGUGGGUUCAAAAGCGUUUUAAACUGAACCCUGUAUGUCUGGCAACCCUCCUUUGUCAUGCUGGGUUAGUCCCAAAAGUAAUGACCAAAGUAUCUCAAUUAUUCCAAAAUUGCCGUAAUGCAAGAUUUAGGCUCCUCUAGCUUUUGUAGCAGAACUAUCCAAUUUCCAUCGAAUUUGGUAAUUGAUUGAGCAUUUUUUUGAUGGGGACGGUGUUCUCGAACUAUCCGAACUGCAUUUUGGUUUAAAAUAUUUUUUGUUGCUCCGCAAUCCUAUCUCCUUCCAGACUAUCACAUUUUCAAUUAAACCCAUAACCUGCACCUGAUAGUAAGAGGAUACUCAAUUCCUUGUGGUUACGAGAAGACUUUACCUUUGGUAUGUUAUUGCAAAAAAAAUUUCACAACAAAACAAACAGAUGUAAAAGCUAGCAACAUAAAACAAUCGGAAAAUCCAUCGGGAGAAACUUUUAGGACACCCUCUAUGUAAGCAAAUGUAACUAACUUAUAAAUUUGUAAAAAGAGCAAUUAUUUAUUCUUGUGUGUACCUAGCGUAAAAACUAGCAUACAUAAAUUGAUAAAAGUCGAGAUAUGCCGAAUACAUACACAAAUAACACUGGAAAAGUUUUAUAAAUAAUGUUCGUCAACGAACCGAUUUUAUUUUUUAUUAGUAAAAGUGAAACUAGUUGAACCAUUUAUCAAAAUGUCUUGUCUUUGUCAUUGAUAGGUUUAACCCGUACGCAAAUUUCAAUAUGCGGUAUUAAAUAAAAAUUUGUCGAAUUUUUUAGGUAGAGUUAUGUUGGACGAUGAACAUACGGUCACCGUGACAUCUUAUUAAGUUGAUGAGGUCAACGGUUCAAAAUAUUAUAUUACCAUCAAGGCGUCAUUUUUUUCAUGUUAGAUCAGUUGUUAUGAACAUCGUGGAAAAUUGAAAUUCAAUUUGUGUCAUUGCGUAAAUUAAGACGCAUAUAAAACUCCAGGACAAGAUAUUGUUAAUUUUAUACAAAUCUAUUAUUACCAUCUCAACAGUGGGAUGUGGUGCAAAAUUCCAUUAUAAUUAAUACACAUCCAAAUUUCUGCAGGAUUUUCCUCCAUUACACCUGCUACUACUUUGUCACACCUUUAAUUUGAAAGUUUAAAUCGAUAACAGACAAUAAACGAGGAAAAUUCUACCAAAAUGUGUACCCAUUAUAUUUUGCAUACGUAAUCACUACCCACAUGGCAUGCACAAAAGUAAGUAAGCUGCAUAAUUUUUCGUUUUUGUGCAAAAUUGAUAUAAAUUUCGUAAAUUUCGCAUACGUUCUCAAACUGGAAAGAUAACUGAACCCAAACCGAUCGAAGUACAUACUGCGCAAAACACAUAAUGAACUCACUUAUCUUCGAAUUGGCAACCUUUUUCUGCCUUCUGGGAUUUCUCAACUCUGGAAACAUUGUCGCACAAGACCUUGACACCCCUGACGGCGGCAAGAAUGACAGCCCUGAAGUACUUUACAACGAAAUAAAUUGUCCCACGGAUGAAAACGGACUGGUUCCGAUAGAGACAAUCGGCGUCGAUAAAACCUACUACGUCGCACCGCAACAAUUGACGUUCAACGAGUGUCACCGACUUUGUCGAGGAAUAACCAGCGAACGGGGGAAGCAAAUGCAUCUCGCCGAGUUUAAGGAUCUUGUGGAGCAACAGAACUUCAGCUUCAUGCUGUUACUCCAAAAUUGUACUGAUAUUUUGCGAGCGGAAUUAUGGAUUGGUGGCAUCGCGCUGGACUAUAUUUUAAGCAACGCUCCCGUAAAUGUGCCCGCCGCGGGGUGGAGUUGGAUUCAUUCCGGGCGUGAACUGAGCCAUAAGCUGGCUUGGAAUCCGUUCGAACCGAGCCGUCACUUGCAGCUGAACCUGCAGUACGAAGCCUGCGUUACUUUCCGACCUCGGUACGACCUCUGGCCGCAACGCCACUGCCUAAACGAUGCCCACUGCUCGACCCGACUUCCUUGCGUGUGUCAGGCCCUGCUUUAAGGCUCUACUUCAUUUUCAUGAGUGUUUAGUCUCACUCAACCCGUAUUCAAUAUCUUUAAAUGUAAUUUCUAAAAUGGCAUCAAGAUCAUUAGUGUUGAGAUAAUUGGGACUUUUGAUAUUUUAAUGU